GACGAACGCUGGCGGCGUGCUUAACACAUGCAAGUCGAACGGAAAGGCCCUGCUUUUGUGGGCUGCUCGAGUGGCGACCGGGUGAGUAACACGUUAGUAACCUGCCCUUGACUUAGGGGUAACUUCAGGCAACUGGGGCUAAUACCGGAUAGGAGCUCCUGCUGCAUGGUGGGGGUUGGAAAGUUUCGGCGGUUGGGGAUGGACUCGCGGCCUAUCCGCUUGUUGCGGGGGUAGUGGCUUACCAAGGCCUUGACGGGUAGCCGACCUGCGAGGGUCACCGGCCACACUGGGACUGAGAUACGGCCCAGACUCCAACGGGAGGCAGCAGUGGAGAAUAGUGCACAAUGGGCGGAAGGCUGAUGCAGCAACGCCGCGUGCGGGAUGACGGCCUGCGGGUUGUAAACCGCUGUCGCCUGUGACGAAGCGUGAGUGACGGUAAUGGGUAAAGAAGCACCGGCUAACUACGUG
rnacentral:rRNA from 1 species